rnacentral:rRNA from 1 species
CCCUCUGGGGGCCCGAGUUGUAAUUUGAAGAGGAUGCUUUUGGCGAGGCGCCUUCCGAGUGCCCUGGAACGGGACGCCACAGAGGGUGAGAGCCCCGUAUGGUAGGACGCCGAGCCUCUGUAAAGCUCCUUCGACGAGUCGAGUAGUUUGGGAAUGCUGCUCAAAAUGGGAGGUAAACCCCUUCUAAAGCUAAAUAUUGGCCAGAGACCGAUAGCGCACAAGUAGAGUGAUCGAAAGAUGAAAAGCACUUUGAAAAGAGAGUUAAACAGCACGUGAAAUUGUUGAAAGGGAAGCGCUUGCGACCAGACUUGCGCCCGUCGGAUCAACCGUCCCUCGUGGGCGGCGCACUCCGGCGGGCUCAGGCCAGCAUCAGUUUUCCUGGGGGUAGAAAGGCGGUGGGAAUGUAGCUCUUCGGAGUGUUAUAGCCCGCCGCGUAAUGCCCUCGGGGGGACUGAGGACCGCGCGUAUGCAAGGAUGCUGGCGUAAUGGUCGUCAGCGACCCGUCUUGAAACACGGACCAAGGAGUCGUCCUAAUAUGCGAGUGUACGGGUGUAAAACCCCUGCGCGUAAUGAAAGUGAACGGAGGUGAGAGCUUCGGCGCAUCAUCGACCGAUCCUGAUGUUCUCGGAUGGAUUUGAGUAAGAGCAUAUUGGGCCGGACCCGAAAGAAGG